GAAAGAGAAGCAGAUUUCUGUUUACAUUUUCUAUUUCAGAUGCUGUUUCUUCCACCAUUAAAGAAAGAUCUUAGGACGUGAGAACUACUCUCCAAAUUUAAGGUCACCUCUUGUUCCAAGACAGCUGCUAGGGUGCCAGCCAUCAGAAGGGAGUCUAAAGGGGUAAAUCUUCCAGUCUACCUGUGACUACCCCAAGAAAGACCACUGUUUUGGAGAACACAACUGGGGAAGAGUACAGUAAGCACAGAACGGCCUUGGUGUUUCUCCAGUGAAGCUUCAACUAUAAGAAAACACAGAAGAAAUCAAGGGGGAAGAAAAAAGAAAAGAGAACAAGUUGAGUGGUAGUUGGGUCUAGGUUACUUUAUCCUUGCAGGGGGGUUUCUGAGAAAGAUUAGUCUUAAAUUUAAUUGUUGGAGUUGGGAGGCAAAGAGGAAACUUCCCUCUGAAAAAAGGAGGAGCCAAAUAAAAACCUAUCCAUAGAGACCUUGUAUAGCAGGGCUGAGUCAGUUCCAGGGACAGGUGAUCAUGCCACACUGUUGGGAGAUGAGCCACUGGGAAGUCAAAGACUUACAUAUUAUAAAACAGAGUUAGGAGCUACAAGGAAGGUUCUGGAACCCAUGUACUCCAACAUACUCUGUAUGCACAACAAUGACAGCAUUAUUCAUUUUCCCUGGGAUUGCUCUUAAUAGGUUGUAAGCUCCUUCCUUCCUCUCUCCUUCCCUUAUCUCCCACCUACCCCGCCCCGCCCCAUAAGCUUCUAGAUCACAUCAAUCAUUAUGGUCACCUUUGUACCCAUAGUGGCUGGGACUCAGACGGUGUUGAAUAAAUAUAAAUGAAAUUAACAA